CCUGGUCGUUGUUCCACACCGCCGGAAGAUGCUGCGGAAGAUACCUGCAAAGGGAAGUUCUGGCAUAAAUCGAUGGAUCGCUCCUUAGGCGGAAAGCUGGAAACCGGUUCUGUGUUUCGUCGGGACGACGCAGUGGCGAUCCAUCAUCGGCUUUCUGCCAGCAGAAACGAGAAUUAAUCGAAGCGACUUCGACAACUUCGCCGCGGCUUCCGGCAGUGAGAUCGUGAACAGCUGUUAAUACAUCCGCGCUCGAUCGCCACGCCGGUCGCUGUAAACCCACAACCACGACCACGAGCAAUCUCAUAGAUGCACCGAAAAACGGACAAGCGGACAAAAAGCUGACAGAACCAAUGUAACGACCAAUAAAACAUGACAAUCGCAAAAUUGCACGGGAACAAUCUGCUUUUAUCUCGUAAAUUGGGAAUGCAUGUUUCUUCCAUUCGCGCAGCUCUAAAUAAAUAUUGUAUAAUAAUUAUCUCGAAAUCAUUUCUCUCUUUACAGCAAGCUAAAAUGAUGCAGAAAUUUCCGAAAUAAUGAAAGCAACGUUGCAGUAAAUUUUUCCGCGUUUAUGAAACACAAUAGAGGUGCAAAAUUCGCGCGAUACCAGUUCGUGAUGCUUUCGUUGCACUUUUGUUACGUCGAGAAAAAUCGUUAUUGUGAGUUUUUCAAUACCGGUGCGAUAAAGUCAGCUAGUUUUGCAAUUUUCGACGGCAAUACGGUACAAACAAUGCCGAUUAAAUAUUUACAGAGAUGGCGAACGUUAAUACACCGCAGAACAGUGCUUAAACACCUUCAUUUUCCGGAUGAAUUGUUUAUUUUCUAUGCUUUGUCUGCAUGUACAGUUCUAUGCUCAAUUUUCUACAAAGUCCUGAAACACUCGGUGUCGCACUGCAGAUAAUUAAACUGCAGUUUGCCGUGUCGAUGAUUACGGCUCGUCGGAUUAAAUCCGUUUGCAUGCAAGGCUAAACAGGCCGGGUGACAAUGCACCCUAAUUACAGACCAACGACGAUUCACGUCGACACGGAUGAGCAUGAAAAGCGGAUUCGCGAUUACGGUUAUUAAGGAAAAUACACGUUUGUACACGUUCAUUAUCGUCCCGGCUUGUUCCACUUCUUCAUUAAUUCAAAGAUUUUAUCGUAUGCGGCGAGCUAACAAAAACGUACAAAUUAUUCUUCAACUCUCAGUAAGAUAAACAACAAGAGUUAUAAAUAUAUAAAGAGAGCAGACGUUGAUAUAAUAAUUUAUUGCAACGUUAUUUCUGAACAAGCCUCACCCGCUGCGCGUAUAUAUCGUUUAUCUUAUGAAACAGUUUUUGUGCUUAAUGAAAGUUCUUGACAGAGUUCCAUUCUAAAUGAAAUUCACCUGCUAUAAUCUGUAAUCUCCUUCUGACAGAGAUAACACGCUCGCGAGCAGACUUUACAAUGAAAGCUAUAUUAUUGUCGCGAGUUUCUUAAUGUUCUCGGAGCAAGAGAAACGCAAAUGAAGAUUAAGUGGCACAAAGUGUAACUUACGGCUUUCAGCUUUCUUGAGGCUAACAAGACGAGAGUAAUGGAAUUUCCUUAGGUUUCCCGAUCUUCUUCUGCCGUACUACUUUAUAGCAAGAACAAUGAUCAUCAACUACUGAAAGCUCUUUUCGCGUCGGUGUCGAAGGAAAGAUUACGAUGCAGGAAUUAAUGCAUCAGCUUAAACAAUGGGCGGUUUUGUGGACGUUAAACGUCCGUUAUAUUCAUCGGGCAGAGUUCGAUCACUCUAUUAGUGACGUAUAUCAGUGACAUCAUUUCUGGUCUUACAAUACAGUAUGAUCAAGUAUUGUUAUAUAUAUAAGCUUUUCUUCUCUAUCACUUUGACUAAUAGAGAAAUUCAUACGAUAAGUUGAAAUUAAAAAUAACAAAUAAAUAUAAUCUUUCUCUUUUCACAUGUCUUGUAUAAAUAUUAUUGCACAGAUGAGAUUCUUUUACUAAAUUUUUAUUUUAAUAAAUCCAUUACAAAUUCGGCAUUAGUUUACGCCGGCAGAUAUAUAUUGGUGCAAUAAAUUUCGCUUCAUAUCGCAUUCACCCCCCCCCCCCAAGCUAUAUAAAAACGAGGUGAAAAAUAAUUUUCAGUAAGGAAGGUCGCCGAAAAAGGCACCCAGGGGAAAUUAGAAUUCGGAACAGGCUGAUCAAUUUUCAUGAAUAUCGCUCUAUCCUGUUUGCCUUAUUGGAAGUUGAGAAGAAUAGAGAAAAGAUUCGACGCGAGCACAUAGAACGUGUACAAAAGACAAUUAUUUAUUAAGAGCUUCCUUUUAUCCCAUAAAAGUGAAAUACCGGCGUAAAAGAGUGACAUAAAAAUGAAACUUUUAGACGCGUGUUCUUCUGGAAACUAGAAGUCGUGAACUCUCUUUCCGGCUGCCGGCUGGAAACUAUUUCACGUCGAAGUUCAGAGAUAUUUGCUGGAGUUUGAAUGCGAGCUUCAUCUCGAGAUUAUUUUAAUCUCGAUGAAAGUAGGCAGCACACGCUCACUCAUUCAAUUUUAAGACAAAUUAUAAUGUAGGCUUCUCGAACCAACCAAGAAUUCCGUGAACACGUUUGAAGUUCAUGCUGAGAAAACGACGUUUUAAACUUUACUUGGUUAUUGUGACCUGGAACGCUACGCCAGUAAUAUUAUAACUAUAACUUUUCUCUAUGAGAUAAGCUGUCACUGGUCUCAAUAAAAGAUAAAAAUGGAACGAUUACAUAGCGAUAAAUAAAUUGUUUUGAAAAUUUGAUUCGUUCACUCGUUAUUCAUUUGAAUCAAACAGCGUUAAAAUGCAUUUGUUUCAAGAUAAAAAUAUUAGUGUCACACGGUAUACUGUAACUGUUUUUAAUCGAAACUUGAAGCAACCUAUAUUUUUUUGUUGAAUUAAUCAUACGUUAUAAUACCUAGUCUGUCAUCGCGUAUCCAAGACAAAAGAGCGAACGGUUUGUGUUCUCGUACAAAGUGCAAGAACAAAGUCCGCGAUGCAUUAAUCAUCAGGAAAACUUAUCGAAUCACAAAACACGUUAUGACAGUUCUCGUCGCAUUCCAGAACGAUACUUUCGAGCCGCAUUUGUACUACUUUCUUUGGAUAGUUAUCUGGAUUUUGCAAAAAGUGCGGUCCGUUACAGGCGGAUCGGCGAGCAUCGCGACACGUUCGUUCGUUCAUCGAUUACGCUGCUGCAUCGUCGCAGAUGAGACAGCCCGCGAUUUCUCUGACAUCCAUGCCGAGGAAGAGAGUCGUCGUUUCUAUCACCGUAGAAAUGACACGUACUGUGCUACAGCUAUGCUAAUGUAGAUAUGGCGAGGUAAGAGGAAGAACCCGGUUAGCGACCUCAUUCGCGAUUAACCUUCCCGCCCUGUUCACGAAACACACUCACAUGGACGUAUCAGAGGAAUUUUAUGACGAGGAAUAAUGAAUAUGGAAAGCGCGAGAAUUGUACGUAUAAAAAUUCGUGGCACCUUUUACGACGGACGACGAUAAUGAGGCACUCCACAGCUCCACGAUUGCUCGAGAUUCGUUAUCUAAGAAAUAUGCGCGCACUCUUAUUAUCUCUAUGGAUUAUUAUGUACGUAUAUCACUGGAUCGCCUGGCAAUCACGAGAAACGGAAAACUUCAACGAUCGUACACGUUCGAAGUUCCUGAUCGCGGCAAGAAACCGGACCGGUAUGAAGUAUCCCGGAAAGAGGAGAACGAUGAUGAUUAUUCAGCCGCGCUCAACUUACAGCGGCAAAUGUCGCAGUCACCGUUGUACUCGCCUCGGAAGGGAAAACGAGAACGGGCACGUUCCAAUUUAGCAAAUGGCGGGAAGAAAGACCUCUUUUUGCCAUCUUUGCGCGUUUUCUCACUCACGCAAGAUUCCCUGCGGGAUUAUCUGGAUCAUCGCGUUCUUAUCCGCGGAAGGAACACGUUUCCCUCCCCACGACAUUAAAAUCGCGUCGUAUGAAUUAAUCAGUUACAUGGCGAUUAUCCCAGAAUGUAAUUGAAACAGCUGCACGUUAUGCGAGACCAUGUAAUUUGUCGAAACACUCGUUCAGAAAAAUCAAAACGCUGUAUUCACGAAAAAACUGGAAAAAGCAGGCGUACAAAAGCCAAAUUUUUAUUGGGAUAGUGAAUUUUCAUCUCUGCGCUGUAGUCGCCGCUCGUGUGCGUUCGGCAACGGGUUGAAUGCAACGGCAGAACGCGAAAAGACUCGCGGAUCAUGUCAUUUGCAAAGGCUUUGUAGCUUCCGAGCCUUUUGUUCCGCGAGCUGGCAAUUCUCGGCGCGGCGUAAUCGGCGUGCGGGCUUUGACGCUGCAAUUCGGUCGAAAAGCGCGUGGCGCGUUUCCGUGGCACUAUGCGGUAUGCACGAUAACGCGAAAACACGGGAAACUGCCAGUUGCGCCUCAUGUCGAGAAAAUGCGAGUGAAGAAAGGUUGGUAACUGCAGUUGCGAGAAUUUCGUUUAACUUCGAGGAUGGUUCUUUUUUAUUUCAGAGCGGAAUUUUCACUCAAGAAUCUCUCAUCAGCAGAAAUAUUUAGAGUACCUCGCAGACGUAAAUCUUUCUUGAAUUUUCUGGUAUAUUGCGAGAAAAGCAUUCAGUGUUAUUUUUAUUUUAAAAAAUAAAACUUUGUUGAGAAAUUUAAUUUAAUGAUACUUUUUUAAUGAGACUUUUACACAUUAGUAAAACUUAUCGCAACGCACUGCAAUUGCGUUAUUCCUGUACGAUAAGCGAUGGCUGAAAGAGUAGCGCAACCACAGGAGAAAGUCGGAACAAACAUGCCCAUUAUUCUCAGUUUUGUAAUCUUUGAUCACGUUGACCACAUGGUGGGAUCUGAUCGGAUUUGGCGACGCAAACAACCUUUCUACGAUUCUUUUUGCGCGCUCAUUGUUCUCCAGCUAGCGACAAAAAUCUACGUUCCCGUUGAAAAAGGGAGCCCGUUGUCGGGCGCGUCUGGAAUUCUCCGUUUUUAUGGACGGACGGGAAAUAUCCUUCGGGAGACGCGGACAUGACGUACCGUUUCGUGCGAGCAAAAGUGCGCGACGAUAAAAGCGAGCUUUUUCAUACAAACAGAAUUAUGGUAUCUUUGAGGAGGGAAAAAGCUGAGUCUGAAGCUUCACGGAAACUGUUGAUGUCGGAAAAAUGAUUAAAAUCCUUUCCAAUACUUCUCGACGUUCGACACAGACUAAAUGUCAUGGAAUUAUUGACGCAAACUCCAGAAAGUGCAUUGAAACGAAGCUGAUACUCGGAUACUUGAAUGGAGCAAACUCCACAGCUGAUUCCAAGUGGAUUAAUAUCCUCACAUUAAUUUUCCGGCAGCAACUAAGUAGCGUUAGUAUAAUAAAUAAUAGACAAUAAAAGCUGUGCCGUAACGAAAUCCACAUCGACUUAAUGUUCCGAGUAAACGUGAUUAAAUACGCGGCGGCGCAGGAAAAUUACGUGCACAAUCGUUAAACGCGAAAAGCAAACUCUCGAUGGGCAACCCAAUUCGCGAAGCACCUGUUAACGUCGUUCUUUCACCGACACUUUUAGCGCUUUUAAAAGGAAAUUGGACUCGAACAAAAGGCGCGUAUCGUAUUCGCAUUCGCCCCGGUUUUGUAUAAAGCGCGAACACAAACGAUACGGACAAAUUACGUAAUAUCCAGUACCUUGGCUACAUAAAAAAGGAAUGGGAAGCGGAGAUUGCAUUGUAGAAAUACAUGAUAAAAACGUAUAUACAUUCCGUGGCUUAAAUUCUCGCUCGACUCGAAAAAUAUACCAGCGCACACACAGCGGAAACAUAAAUUAUCGCAUAAGAAUCGGUGAUUUUCCAACAUGAAGUGCAAUAUUUCAUUUUAAAUAUUUAUAUAUGUCACGUUGUGAAAAGAAUAAUUUCAGUUUAAUAUUAAUCGCAGAAUAUUAAAUUGUUUUGUCCCUGUUUAAACCGGAAUAAUAAACGCAAGCUUUUUUUUGAAUCUCAGAGACUUGCCUUUCAUCUCUUUUUCCUCGAAACUCUAACCGAUCAUUGUACAUCCGACUCAAAAAGAACAACAGUCGUAAAGCAGCGAUGGCACAGUUAAGUUAUUCAAAGGAUAAGUCAGGUUUACAUAGUAAUGCAAGCAUCGAGAUAUCCGAGGUACAAAACCUCGUCAGUGAAUUGCUAAAAAACAUCUCAUUUGUCUUCGACAUUCAUUAGGCAAAUGGAACGAAGCAAAGCUACGCUUUGAAAUACAGUAAAUAGUUAUUAAAGAAAUUACGUCAUAAAGAUAAUUAUAUUCCUGGUGGUUCGUCGUAUUGUGCAGCUUCCAGCUACCGUCUCUGGUGGCUUUUUAAUUAAAGAAAUAAACUCCUCGAAAAUCAAUUGCCUAAUUGGACUACAUUUAUAUUCCGAACGGUCUCAAGAGCAAUUAACGAAAUUAUUGGAUAAUCAUAGAACAUGUAUUUUUCCUAGAUAUUAAAAUUAAAAUUACGCAAUCUUUAUUCAUACGAUAAUUAAUUUGAUAUGACGUUAAUGUGAUUUAAUAACGAUUUUAUCAUUAUAAUUAUGCCAGGAAUGAGUAAUUAUUAUAUAAGUAUUAAUCCCGUUUAAAAACGCAAAGUUGACGCAUUUUUCAGAGUUUAAGUUUUGAGUUAUGAUUGUAUACUUUAAUUUUUAUUCAACAUCAGUUGAAUAAUGCAAACAUUUGCCAUUAAACCUCGAUCGCAUAACUAUAAAACUAUAAAAAUUCUGUAUAGUUCGCGAUUGCUAAUUUUUGGUCUGAUGAAUCUUUUAGCCAUUUUAAGUCGAAAUUUUGUGAUCUUCCUGAAUUUCUCGUGUUACGUAUGUUUCACAGUUUACUGGCACUAAUAAUUUAUUAAAACUUUUUUAUACAAAUGAUUUCAUUACCAUAGAUAUAUUUUUCUUAUAUAUGACUAUCAUACAUAUAUGUAUGAUUGAAAUGAAAGUCUGGCGCAAAUUGCUCAAGUCAAUACGUUUUUCGAUCUAUCUUUUUACUCCAACAUUUCAUGCAUCUGCGUUUGUCAAUUGUAGAAAAUUGCGUGAAUAAAAUGAAAUAACCAUCAAGUGAAAUCAUUCGUAGCUUCUUGAUCACGUAAAAACAUAGACGCGUUUGCUGUUUUCCCUUCGUGCAUGAUUCCAUCCGCAAAAACGUUGGUCGUGACGAAUUUCGCGGUAUUUUAUUCGGCAUGCGUUCGUAUUUAAUCGUCAAUUUGCACGAGAACGUUACAUAAAUAUCGCUGGAUAUGCGUUUACUUAGGGCGACUGGGUCGUCACUUACCAUUGCUUACAACGACGAACGGUCGAUAUUAGCAUUUCAGAUGUGGCUAAGUACGCGCGACACAACCUACGAACUACGCCGAAAGCGAUACUCCCGUGACAAACGUUUAAUUCAAGUAGAUAGUAUGCGAAAUCGGAAGGUUAUUAACAAUUAUAUUAGCAACAUUAGCAUCUUACUGAAUAAACAUACAAAGUGCAUAAGGUGGAAAGCAUCGAAAUCACACUAAUGAUUCUUAACUGCGCUCAACGCAGAUUUUUAUUGCCUGUUUUGCGUUCGAUAUUAAUUUAGUUUAUCAAGAAUAAUUAGAGAAUUUCUGUCACUAGUCUAUACACUUCCAAUAUUGUAUAAUUUGCGUUUUAUAUAAUUCGAUGAUUAAAAUCUCGUUAAGAGAAAGUCGGAUACGCGAGCAAAACAGAAUGAUGUAAUAAAUGUUAAUAUCGCAAAAGAGGAUAGUUUAAUUGAUUCGAAUUUAACUUUUCUACGUAAAAGAUGAAAUUGCUGGUCUAAUUAAAAAGAGUUAUUUAACGUCCAAAAUUAAAUCGUAUUACUCAUAUCGCAUAAUGAACAAAUUAAAUUUCCGAAUAGCUGAUGAAAACCCUUCAACUCUCUCAAUUUCAUACGAACUUUACUUGAUAAAUAGAAUUUUUUUUCCAAUUAUCGAGCACAUUGAAAUUGCGAAUAAUGCAAUUGGAUAAAAUGUUAAUUCAAUAAUGUUUCUCACAUUGUUGACGAUAUUUUAUGACAUAUCUGAUAUACAUCCUCUGUACAAUUAUAUAUAACUAUCGUUUUUCAUACAACGUAAUAUCAAGUAUGAUUAAAGUGCUUUCCCAGAAUUUAUAUUUUAACUGCGCUUCAUUCGGUUAAACACUGGUUAAAAUAUCAAUCACGUACUUUGAUACAUAAUCCAUUAUUUGUCUUGAUUGUUUUUGGACAUAAAAUCCAUAUCGACACGUUAAUUAAGAUAACAUUGUUACGUUAUUUAUAUAACAUCUGAAAUUUUUCACGAGAUAAAAAUUCUUUCUUAUAGAUAUACGUCACCAAAACACACCGAGAGUCCGUUUAUAGUUGCUGGUUGACCCAGAAAAACAAAUCUCACGGUGUAACGCAAAAUCAGAGCACGCGUUUUCGUUUUCACGCUUUUAUUUUAGCAUACGAUCACAUCUAGUAACCAGUAUAAUUUCUCAUCGUAGAUAAUGUCGCGCGUAUACAACUAUUCAACAUAUCAUGUAUAAACAUCCAGACAUGAUGCCCUUGCGCAACUAAAAAAAGUAAAAGGUUGCAUAAAGCCAAUAACCGCUAUAAUUUGAUACGAUAAUGAGCUAUUUAUCAUGAUAAUCCAUAUAUAAUGCAAUUAAUGACAAAUUAAUAUGGAUAUUGACAUCUUUAGCUAAUCAAAUUAUAUUUCUUCAUACAAUCAACGAUCGAUUUAUUCUAUAAUUUUGCAAUUAAGUAAUAAACAACAAAAAUUAUCAGCAAUUUAACACAAUGCGUGAGCAAAAUCAAUUGUAACAUUUAAGACGCAUGAGAUUCGAGCAAA